AUGAACAGCAUACGUUGGCAAACCACGUUGCUGUUCUCAGUACACUAUCUCUCAAGACAUUGCGAUCUGACCAGUGGAAAAACAGGAUGUGGUUAACUUUAUGGCUGUAAACGAUACUGACAUCUGUAGUGGUUAAAUAACUGCCUGCAUAUUGCCACGUAGAUAAUGCUGUUGUACUAUGUAUGUACGUGAUGUUAUACAAUAGUUAAAGGUCAUAGGCUGUUUAUGGAGAGAAAAUAAUCCACGCCUCCAGGCGGAGGUAAAAUAAAAGCGGAGACCAGAAUUACGAGGGGGGCUCCGAAAUUGAACUCUGGUCUCACCGUGUCUCACUGUGUCGUGAUAUCUACAUCUGGUGACCCCGACGUGAUUCAGAACAAACACCCUCGUACCCACUGGCAGGAUCAGCCAACGGUGCACCUCAGCGUACAGCUCCCAUUCGUAGCUGCAGUACUGGCAGAAGUGACCAGGGAGAAACCGGUUCGUCAAGCUGUCGUCGAACGUACCAAUCGUACCCUUAAAGAGCAUUUGCUUAAACAAAAACAAAAAGGAGGAGUACCACUGGGAUUGGCCACCAAAGAGGAGUGGCUGGCACAAGUGUUGUUUACCAUUAAUCAUUUAAAUUUGUCUCAAUCUCCCAAUACUCAUUUUUCCUUUUCUACUCGAGCGCAGCGGCAUUUUCAGCAGUCGGAGUCUCUACCUGCCCCGCGGGUGCAGUUUCGGCAACUACCAAAUCCAGAGUGGAAAGGCCCAGUUCCGCUUAUAACGUGGGGUCGAGGUUACGCGGCUGUGUCUACGCCUGACGGUCCUGUGUGGGUACCUGCUAGGUGUAUCCGGCCCUGGAAAGACGAUGUCCUGGCACGAUAAUCUUAAGAAUCCCAUCCCUAAUUUUUCUCUGCAACUUCAGGAUACUGGGAUGUCUUCCAGGAAGCGUGGUCGGAAUGUUCCGCAACCUCCCGUGACUUGGGGCCAAAUAAAGAACUUAGCAACACAAGCAGAAAAAGCAAUGGAACAAGCCGGGGUGGACAAGACAACUGAGAAUACCAUUCUUGCUUUAAUUGCGUCUUUAAAUACAAAUUCUAUUUUUGUACUUUGCAUUUGUUGGAUUUUAGGAAGCGCCGGGGCUGACAGGUUGGGGCAGGAGUUGGGGAUGCGGUUUCAACACAAUAUCUGGGUUCAGUUAGCAAGAAUGACAAAUGUGAGUGACUUUUGCAUGACUGAACAUGUACAGGAAAUGGGUAUGUUGGGAACAUGUUUAAUACCCGUAUGCAAAGCACCUGGGGAUAUUGGGAACAUUACAGGACUUGGGCGGUUCAUGAAUACUUCAGAGAUUAAAUAUCAUACUGUUUCGAAUUGGGGAACUCCAACCUUCCAGCUGCCUGUUAAUGCUUUUCAAUUAUUUACAUCACAUGUUGCAAAUUCCAUUAAUAAUACGUGUGCUCGGAUGGUUAAUUGUAGUCGACAUAAGGUGCAGAAGGGAUAUUUCUGAUACCAUCUGUUGCCUGAGUCGACUGGUUCCCAUUUUCCUUCAUAAAAGGGAGUUGCUAGCCCAACGUAGGAAUUGCUUAAUAAAGCAGAAAGUGUAUCACUAGCCAUCUCCCUUGUUGGACUUCCUGCAUUGGCAGUAAGUAACAGCAAUCAAUUACAUAAAUUAGCCUGUAAUUAUGUUAAGAUGAUAAAUGCCACCUCUCGAGCCAUUGCUUUGUUAAAUGAAGAGCAGGGUAUAUUAAGACAAGCUAUCUUGGAUAAUCGUGCAGCUAUAGAUUACCUGCUAUUACAACAUCAGUUGGGGUGCGAAACUAUAAAGAAUAUGUGCUGUUUUAAUUUAACUGACAACAGUUUUGAAAUCAGAACACAGGUAAAAAACUUGAAGGAUCUAGCUAAUAACAUUUUGCAGGACGCCCCUACAACUUGGUGGCAGUGGCUUUGGAGUUGGCUGCCCACUGGAUGGCUAAGUCAGAUUCUUAGAUAUGCUAUUCUUUUACUCAUUUUAAGUAUAGGCUUAUGCUGUUUUUUACAAUACCUGUUCCAGACGUGUACACCUGUUGCUCCGCGACCAUUACGUAGUAAUUACUUUUUGCUAAAAAAUAAAAAAGGGGGAGAUGUGGGGUGGACUGAAUGAACAGCAUACGUUGGCAAACCACGUUGCUGUUCUCAGUACACUAUCUCUCAAGACAUUGCGAUCUGACCAGUGGAAAAACAGGAUGUGGUUAACUUUAUGGCUGUAAACGAUACUGACAUCUGUAGUGGUUAAAUAACUGCCUGCAUAUUGCCACGUAGAUAAUGCUGUUGUACUAUGUAUGUACGUGAUGUUAUACAAUAGUUAAAGGUCAUAGGCUGUUUAUGGAGAGAAAAUAAUCCACGCCUCCAGGCGGAGGUAAAAUAAAAGCGGAGACCAGAAUUACGAGGGGGGCUCCGAAAUUGAACUCUGGUCUCACCGUGUCUCACUG